rfam:Stegodyphus mimosarum contig114189, whole genome shotgun sequence.
GCAUUCGUGGUGUAGUGGUCAGCACGCUCGACGCGUACUCAAGAGGUCCGUGGUUCGAGUCCCGGCGAGGGCA